UUUUUUUUUGGUGCAAUGGACAAUUUUAAUGAACUACAGAGUAGACCCUGAGGUAGGAGAGAGGGGACUUACACCUCUGCUCUCAACGUGGAGAAGAGGCCAAAGAACUUGCCCAGACUUAUGGCAGAAGAUGCAGGGGAUGGCUCAGUAUUCUGGGUAAAAUAAAGAAGAUGGAGCCAAGAUGGGAACAAACCACACAUGAGUGCUGAGAGAGAGAAUAGAGCGGAUUGGAGAAGAACUGAGUCCUCCGAGUUGUUCCAGAAGAGAAAGUUCAACAGGCAGAGUGCAUCUUGGGGAAGAGAUGCCUUAUUAGUAGGGAUCCCUCCAGCUGGCAGAGAGAAUAAAAUGAAUACAUGCUGGAAAGACUGGAAUUCACAGUGUACGCCUUAAACUUGAAGUCCAUCGGGGUUGGUACUCCAGAGAUUUGCCUGAUGAGGAAUCCCAGAGAACAGAGAAGCUCCUGGGGUCAUAGGAGUUAGAUGCAGAGGGAAACUCCUUCUCUAUAGGCGUUGGCUACAGAGUCUUGAUCUGAGAGAGGCGGAACAUGGCUCUUAUCACUUACAUCAUCCACCUGCUGCUCCAGCUUGACUUUGGACUUGGUCAGCGUGUUGACCUUGUCUUCUUCAGCCUGCAGGUCAUCGAGGGCUUGCUGGUGGGCUUCUUGCAGAGCUUUCUUCUCUUUGGUCAGCUUGGCAAUGAUUUCAUCCAGCCCAGCCAUCUCCUCUGUUAGGUUUUUAACCUGCCAAAGAAGAAUAAAAAUAAAUAAAUAAAUCCACCUUGCCUUUAGGAUCAAAGGAUGUCAUUGUGGAGACAUGUAUAGAUGCUACCAACUAGGCCGAUACUCUGGUCUGGAAAUCUUCUGGAGACCUAGGCUGAACCCGAGGGAACCGGCCUCACCUUGUUCUCUGUUGCAUGCUUUUCCUUUUCCACCUUGGCCAGCGUCAGCUCCAGGUCAUCAAUAUCCUUCUUGAGCUCUGAGCACUCAUCUUCCAGCUUGCGCUUCUUGGCAGUGAGCUCGGCGUUCAUCUCCUCCUCGUCCUCCAGCCUCUCGGUCAUCUCCUUCACCUUGGCCUCCAGCUGGAUCUUGUUCUUGAUCAGCUGGUCACAGCGCUCCUCUGCAUCAUUGAGGUUGUCUUGUUCCUGGGGGCAAGGAAUGGAAGAAGUCAACGAUUAAAGAGAUUAAAGAGGGGGAAGAUGCGGGUCUUGUAAAGGGGUGGAGCUUCUGGAUUCCCAGACUCUGGAGAUGAGAUGGGCAACAAUCCAGGAGACAGAGAGGGAGAAAGAAGAGAAAGUCAUGUGGCCUCACCGCCUGCACUUGGAGCUGUAGGUCAUUCUUCUCCUGCAGCAGGGACACCAUCUUCUCCUCCAGCUCCUUGCGGCGAGCCUCAGACUUCUCCAGUGCAUCUUUGACUCGCCCAAACUCCUCCUUCAUGUUGGCCAUCUCCUUCUCCGUCUCUGCGCUCUUCAGCAGCGGUUUGAUCUUGAAGUAGAGCUUCAUCCAUGGCCAAUUCUUGACCCCCAUGAAGGCCCGAAUGUUCCACUGGAUAACCAGCAGGGCAUCCCUGACCAGAAAGAGUGCAAUCAGGAAGAACUCUAGAAAGAAGUCUCCUCAGGCAUGGGACCAGUUGCCCUGGCCUCCUCUGUCUGAGCAAGUUUGUAGGCACAAAGGACAAGGGGCAUUGUAGCCUCACUCCUUAUGAUUUCAACAAAAGUAUGGUAUGCAUUCCUCUACUGGGGCAGCAAUAGUAACAGAAGCCACUGAGAGGUCUACCUGUUCAGUGUUCAUUUUUGGGAUACCUUCAAAUACAGACUAUGUAGCAUUUUACAUCUCAGAAUGCUACAAAAUAACUGCUUGGGAGCCCACCAGCUGAGCAGGAGAUGGAGCAUUCAACUACUGAGCUGCAAGUGGGCUCCUUUCCACCUUCUCUGGCCCUCAACUAGAAGCAGCCACUGCUAUUAAACUUGUUUUUAAUUUUCUUACUUAAAAAUUAUUACUAUUUUUUGGCAGGGUGUGGUAGUGUAGAUUUUUUGUGCUUGUCAGCUGUGGUUCGAGGUUAGCCUGGUCUACAUAGUAAGCUCCAAGCCUGCCCUGCCUAGAUAUGUAAUGAGACACCCAUCUCAGUUUUUCUUUUUUUAAUUUGUGCUUGUGCGUGUGUUUUAUGUAGGCACACACAUGUGAGUAUACAUGGGUACAUGUGUGCCUAGAGACCAGAGGAGGACAUGAGCUGUCUCCUUCUGGCGUUCUCUGCCUUAAGGCACUGAACCUGGGGCUUGCUGUUUC
rnacentral:lncRNA from 1 species